AUUUAUUUAGUAUAAAAGUACAAUUGAUUUCCAAUCAAAAAGUCUAUAUUUAAUUAGAAUAAAUA
rnacentral:tRNA from 1 species